rnacentral:rRNA from 1 species
UACGUAGGGGGCGAGCGUUGUCCGGAAUGACUGGGCGUAAAGGGCGCGUAGGUGGCCUUGCAAGUCUGGAGUGAAAGUCCCGUUUUUAAGGUGGGAAUGGCUUUGGAAACUGUGAGGCUUGAGUGUGGGAGAGGAUAGCGGAAUUCCCGGUGUAGCGGUGAAAUGCGUAGAGAUCGGGAGGAACACCAGUGGCGAAGGCGGCUAUCUGGACCAAGACUGACACUGAAGCGCGAAAGCGUGGGUAGCAAACAGGAUUAGAUACCCUGGUAGUCCACGCGGUAAACGAUGGAUGCUAGGUGUAGGAGGUAUCGACCCCUUCUGUGCCGGAGUCAACACAAUAAGCAUCCCGCCUGGGGAGUACGGCCGCAAGGUUGAA